GGCGGGCAGCGCGGAGCGGAGCUUUGGCGUCUCCAUCCCUUUCCCUCAAACUUGGUCUUUGUACUGUUGGUUUCUUUCUUUCUUUCUUUCUUUCUUUUUCCUCUUUUUAUUUUUUUCCUCUUUCUCCAGUAAAUAAUUAAGCCCUCACCGGCAACACAGUGGUGGCUUAACAGAAAUAACUGAAACGAUUUCGCUUUUGCAUGCCCAUCCUCUCCCUUCAACAUCCAAAAACCGCGAUGCUGUUUGCACUGUGCUGUUUGCACAGCCCCUCGCUCCUCUGCCUUUCAUAGAUGUGCCAGUAGAAAUAUCUCUCUCUCUGCUUUUGUAAGAUUAGAAAUGAAUACGACAUUCCCACCCACUUUCGGGAGAAAAAUGGAUAGAAACUGGUAUUGAUGCAGCUCGAAUUUAACCCUGCCGGACAGAUCUGCUGCCUUCCUCUAAAUGUCGGAUACAAUCAGACUUCCUUAUGGAAAUAGGUAAUCAAAAUAAUGGUUAUCUCACUUCAAAACAAGAGGACCGAUGAGUCACCCCAGGAAUACGAAUGAGCAGGUGGAGGAGCGCUGUUAGGACAUCGUUCAGGUGACUGCAUGACCAAUAGCAACUUGGAUGUGGGCAUGGCAGAACUCAGCCCAGCCAGGUGGUACGCAGCCCCUGGGGAAGGUGCUGAAGCUUCUGGCUGCACCAAAAAGCAGUGUGCAGGUGUGCAUGGCCAGAAUAUCCUGCCUACAGCCAGGAAAACCAGGAGCCUGUGAACGCUCGGUAAAAACAAAACUUUCCUAUGCUAACUUAGCCAUUCUUCUCCCAGAAAGAAUACUUUUCAAGUUCCUGAAGAGCAGUUAGCUCUAAUCAAGAAGGGCAAUAUCAAACUGAACUUUACAGAAUGAAGUAACAAAAGGUUCUACACGCAGAGACACUUCCAGACCAGAAAUAGGAGGGCUCCAGCAAAAGACAUACAAUCAUGCUAUGCUCACUGCCUCUGCAUUUCAAGGAAGGUCUCCCUCAAAAUUCCCGUGACAUAAUCACAUACAGCUGACUGCUCUCUAUCCCCAGAGAAAGGAAACAACGCCAACAAGCUUUGAUGUGAGUGCACACCGAGGGGAACUAUGCAGAGUAACCACAGGGCUCAGCCUUCAUCACGUUGUCAGCUCUCUGUCAAUUAUUUGGACACACAACUGGAAACCACGCAAAGGAGGUAUUUUUAUUCACUCUGCUACUCUGUCUGUUUCCAGAAGAGGGAGCCAAGCCAUGAGAAAAUGCAGCCAAAAAUCAGAAACAUCCUUCAGUCUGUUACGAGGGGUGUGUAUGGAUAUUAAUAGUGUGCACGUGUAGAGUUCCGUUAAAUCCGGGUAGGAGGGGAAACGAGUGCUGAUGGAAGUACAGAAGUGAAAUGUAUGUCAUGAGGCCGAGAGUACAGAAGAGCUGAGGGCUUGGGCAUGGUACUGCAACCACAGGAUAUGAGAAAGAGUAAUAGGUUCACAUGUUCCAUAAAAGGCAACUGUCAUCUCCUGAAGGGAAACUCCAAUUGCAGUUUGCAAGGGACAACUCUGCUCACAAGGUUUACUGGGCCAUCUUCACCAUCACUUGAUGGCAGAAACUGAUGCUCACCACUCACAAUGUUUGUAAGUGGAAAAGAGAUGCACAGUGUGGCCAAGAAGCCACCACAAGUUGCUCUGAAGACAGGCUUAGAGCAAAAUAUGACUCCUACUCCAUUGAUAUUCAGGUAAUUACCUGAAGGGUGCUUUCAGCUGCUGCUAACAGGUCCAGCAGCCCAUGAAGAUCAGACACACAGGGAUCACGCUCCAACUCAAUUUAAUAAGCUUCAGAAUGAACUUGGAUAGAAAAUGGUUUGAAAUAAGUUGAGCACCACUCAUCUACUAGUCAAGGUUGAUUUUUUGUUUUUUGUCUUAAGUAGUGCUUUUAAGCUUAGACUCAAGCAUAAAAAGCAUAAAGGUUAUAAAUUAAAAACAAUAAAAUCAUCCUAGAAUAAUGUAAUGGUCUCACCUAUAUGCACAAGGAGUGGAAAGGAGACAGAAUUAUGUCCAGGUAACUUCACACAUUUUUAAUGCUACAUAAGUGCUCUCCACAUUCAUUUCAACGUUUCUUUUAAUGCGGGUGGAAGGAGCAGAAAGUGUUGCAAUGAAAUCAUCUCAAGAUUGAGAGGUACUUCUCCCAGUUCCAAGCUCUGGGUGUUCUCCUCUUCAAAGGUCUUGAGAGGAAAUGCUUUACUUAAAACUCUGCUGUUAGUUUAUGGUUUCAGCAGCCUCUGGUUUUUCAGCUAUAUAAAUUAAACAGUUCAGUAACUUUUUCCCAGAAACUACUGCCAGUAUUUCAUCUUCACAGAAACGCAUUAUCCCUAACCCUUCACAAAUGACUCCAUUGUACAACAGAAGCAACCAGUUUAGCUUAGAGCGGACAGGCAGAAAAGAAACAUGGUAACAGCCAAGAGACAGCUAUUAAGGAGACAAUUUUGGAGAAGGAAUGAGAUUCAUAGCCUAAUCAAAACACAUUUCAAAUAAAGUCUUUUGGCAGAGGUUUGUAAGACAAGAUAUUUUACAACUCAACUUCUUUGUGUUCAUAGCAUUAAUGAAAAGAAGAUAAUCUUACGUGCUUUCAGCAAAAGAAAGGCUGAGGGAAGAAUGAGUGCAGUGUACCACAUUUGUUUGCCACCAUUGAGUUUGGAACAAAUCUUCAUACAAAAGUUACUCUCAUAUUAUUCUAAAUUAAGUGAAAAAAAAAUAUGUAUUUUAACGCUAAAGCAAACUGUUCAAAGUGGCAUUUAAUAGCAUUUGUUAAAGUGGUUAUCUAACAAAAAUGGGUUAACAAAAUCCCAUUCAUUAGUAGUCACCAAAUAAGACAUUUCUCAUGCAUAUGACAAAAGUCCAUUCGUGUACUGACAGAGGUCUGUUUACUGUGUACAAUAUUUCCAUAAAUUAUAAUGUUUCACAGCCCCUACCAUUCAAGAAUAUUUCAAACAGAUUAUAUAUUAUAUUUGUAUAUGCAAACUAUUUUAUAUACACUAAUAUAAAGAUCCUUAGAAGUACCAUUAUGACUACCUUUAUGCUUUCUCUAAAAUGCAUAGCUUUCGAAUAUUUUCUUGCAGUUACCAAAAAACUUUACAGAUUAAAGCUGCUUAUCAAUGUGGCAUGUUCAUAAAAACAAAGUGAAAUAGUACUGUACUAACUUUAUAUUAAACCCCUUAAAAAACAUGUUUUUUUAAUGGAAAAAAACCAAGCUAGUGAAAAUUCAAGUAAUCUAUGCUCACUCUUUGCCCAAAUACUAUGUGAAAUUAACGUAGCAUUCCAGAAGUACAGUGAACUUCUCAACCAGGACUGUAAUACUGCAUUUCUCAUGGAGAAAAAUGCUAGUCAUGCCACAAAACCGCACUGCUUUCCACUUCAUCUGGGAGAAGCUUUAGAUGAGAUUUAGCAUGUAAGCAUCAAAACAGAGGAAAGCUUGAUCAGUUACAUAUGAAGAAAUUAGAGCUAUUCCAGUUUUGUUUCUGCAGUUUGUUAUUAAACAAAGUGACAUUAACCACACAGUUUCUCACAAACUAAAAGUUAUACAUGGUUUUCAGACAUCAACCGAAUGGGAAAAGGAAAAAAAAAAAAAAAAAAAAAAAAAGAAGGAAAAAGAACUCAACUGUUAAAAUUUUGGUGUUAAAAUAACCAGUCUGGGAGAAGGAAAGCCAAACCACUGCUGUAGUUGGGGGCAACUGAUAGCUUGCUUGUUACAUAUAAACUUCGAGACCUCCAUGCCACAAAAUGCCUUAAAAGUGCAGAACAAAACUAUCAGUAAUAAAUGAGAACAACUCAUUUUGUUAUAUCCAUCAUCUAGCUUUAACUUAGUGCUCUGCAUCUCUAAUAGCUGCUUAACAAACAAUGGAUUCCCCUCACAAAAAAAUAGCUACACAAGUAAACAGUGUUCACAGUAAUGCAAUCAGUAACAGGUUUUUUUUUUUUUUUUAGUUUCCUUAAGUCAGGUGUAUCUGCAAAGCUUUAUACAGUUUAAUGCAUAAGUAUUCCAGUAAAAUUAAGUGAAAACUAAGUUUCAUUCUACAGGGUAAUAUCUACCAUACAAGACUAGAUUAUGUACAGUAUGGGACUGGUAUGACAACUGUCAGUGCAUCGUGAUGUUCAGCUAUUUCACCCACCACAUCGGUCUUUGUUCAACAAAUCGUUAAUAACUUGAUAUACAGACCUAAAAACCUACAGAUUGAUUUGGCAAGAUUAAUGCUUACUACCACUGGAUAUACACCAGUGAACAGUGCUGCAAAAUUAAGUUGACCUGAACAUCCCAUACCCACAA